ACCAACAACCAGCUCAGUACAGACUCUUCCUGGUCCUUCCAGAGUCCCUAUCCCACUAAUACCUAAGAAAUUCGUGCCCCAGAGUAGGACGAAUGUAGGAACAUCACAGUCUAAGAAGAUGUAGCCUUCCUGAGUACUGACAUUACAGGAGCCAUAGCAUUCCCAGCGAC